rnacentral:rRNA from 1 species
AAGUGGAGCAAUCCAUGAGUAUAGUGGCGACCGGGUGAGUAACACGUGACUACCUGCCCUUGAGUGGGGGAUAACCUCGGGAAACCGAGGCUAAUACCGCAUAAAAUCGAAAGAUCAAAGGAGCAAUCCGCUUUUGGAGGGGGUCGCGGCUGAUUAGCUAGUUGGUAGGGUAAUGGCCUACCAAGGCGAAGAUCGGUAUCCGGCCUGAGAGGGCGCACGGACACACUGGAACUGAAACACGGUCCAGACUCCUACGGGAGGCAGCAGUGGGGAAUUUUGCGCAAUGGGGGAAACCCUGACGCAGCAACGCCGCGUGGAGGAUGAAGCCCCUUGGG